rnacentral:rRNA from 1 species
UAGAGUUUGAUCCUGGCUCAGGAUGAACGCUAGCGGCAGGCUUAAUACAUGCAAGUCGAACGGGAUUCGGGUAGCAAUACCUGAUGAGAGUGGCGCACGGGUGCGUAACGCGUAUGCAACCUACCUUUAACCGGGGCACAACUCCGCGAAAGCGGGGCUAAUAUCCCAUAACACUGCGAAAUGGCAUCAUUUUGCAGUUAAAGCUUUAGUGGUUACAGAUGGGCAUGCGUGACAUUAGCUAGUUGGUGAGGUAACGGCUCACCAAGGCGACGAUGUCUAGGGGUUCUGAGAGGAUUAACCCCCACACUGGUACUGAGACACGGACCAGACUCCUACGGGAGGCAGCAGUAAGGAAUAUUGGGCAAUGGACGAAAGUCUGACCCAGCCAUGCCGCGUGAAGGAUGAAGGCCCUAUGGGUUGUAAACUUCUUUUGUACGGGAAAAAACCUCCGGUCGUGAAUCGGAGCUGAUGGUACCGUAAGAAUAAGCAUCGGCUAACUCCGUGCCAGCAGCCGCGGUAAUA